GCUGGGUUCGCGUAGCGGCAAUCGCAUCUGGCUGUAGACCAGAUGCCCGAAAGGGCUGCGGGGGUUCGAGUCCCUCACCCAGCA
rfam:Candidatus Levybacteria bacterium RIFCSPLOWO2_01_FTLL_36_13 rifcsplowo2_01_scaffold_1450, whole genome shotgun sequence.